rnacentral:rRNA from 1 species
UCCUACGGGUGGCAGCAGUGGGGAAUAUUGCGCAAUGGGGGAAACCCUGACGCAGCGACGCCGCGUGGGUGAUGAAGGCCUUCGGGUCGUAAAGCCCUGUCGGGAGGGACGAACCACCGGUGGAAUAAUACGCCACCGGCCUGACGGUACCUCCUAAGGAAGCACCGGCUAACUCCGUGCCAGCAGCCGCGGUAAUACGGAGGGUGCAAGCGUUGUUCGGAAUUACUGGGCGUAAAGCGCGUGUAGGCGGCCUGCUAAGUCUGGUGUGAAAGCCCGGGGCUCACCCCCGGAAGUGCAUUGGAAACUGGCAGGCUGGAGUACCGGAGAGGAGGGUGGAAUUCCUGGUGUAGCGGUGAAAUGAGUAGAUAUCAGGAAGAACACCGGUGGCGAAGGCGGCCCUCUGGACGGAUACUGACGCUGAGACGCGAAAGCGUGGGGAGCAAACAGGAUUAGAUACCCUUGUAGUC